UUCCGCUUCAUCCGGGUCCGGUUCGUGGGGGCAGCAGCUUCAGGAGGGAAGCCCAGACGGCCCUCACCCCGGCCACCUCCACCAGCUCCUCCUCCUCCGGGGGGAUUCCCAGGCGCUCCCAGGCCAGGCGGGAGAUAUAAUCCCUCCACCUGGUCCUGGGCCGACCACGAGGUCUCCUCCCGGUGGGACAUGUCUGGAACACCUCUAACCGGAGGCGUCCAGAAGGCGUCCUAACCAGAUGUCCGAGCCACCUCAGCUGACUCCUCUGGACGUGGAGGAGCAGCGGUUCUCCUCUGAGCGCCUCCCGAGUGUCCGAGCUCCUUCCCCUAUCUCUAAGGCUGAGCCCGGACACCCUGAGGAGGAAACCCAUUUCAGCCG